rnacentral:rRNA from 1 species
GUAGGGAAUAUUGGUCAAUGGAUGGAAGUCUGAACCAGCCAUGCCGCGUGCAGGAAGAAGGCCUUCUGGGUUGUAAACUGCUUUUGCCAGGGGAUAAAAAUUCUUUGCGAAGAAAAUUGAAGGUACCUGGUGAAUAAGCACCGGCUAACUACGUGCCAGCAGCCGCGGUAAUACGUAGGGUGCAAGCGUUGUCCGGAUUUAUUGGGUUUAAAGGGUGCGUAGGCGGCCCUGUAAGUCAGUGGUGAAAUACUCCAGCUUAACUGGAGGGGUGCCAUUGAUACUGCAGGGCUUGAGUUAAGUUGAAGUUGGCGGAAUUGACGGUGUAGCGGUGAAAUGCUUAGAUAUCGUCAAGAACACCGAUAGUGAAGACAGCUAACUAAACUUUUACUGACGCUGAGGCACGAAAGUGUGGGGAUCAAACAGGAUUAGAAACCCCGGUAGUCC